UACGGAGGGUGCAAGCGUUGUCCGGAAUCAUUGGGUGUAAAGCGUUCGUAGGCGGCAUAUCAAGUCUGGUGUUAAACCCCGGGGCUCAACUCCGGUCCGGCACUGGAUACUGGUAAGCUAGAAUGAGGUAGAGGUAAUGGGAAUUCCUGGUGUAGCGGUGAAAUGCGUAGAUAUCAGGAGGAACAUCGGUGGCGUAAGCGCAUUACCGGGCCUUUAUUGACGCUAAGGAACGAAAGCCGGGGGAGCAAAU
rnacentral:rRNA from 1 species